UGGUCCUACGGGGCGCAGCAGUGGGGGAUAUUGCACAAUGGGGGAAACCCUGAUGCAGCGACGCCGCGUGAGUGAAGAAGUAUUUCGGUAUGUAAAGCUCUAUCAGCAGGGAAGAAAAAAGACGGUACCUGACUAAGAAGCCCCGGCUAACUACGUGCCAGCAGCCGCGGUAAUACGUAGGGGGCAAGCGUUAUCCGGAUUUACUGGGUGUAAAGGGAGCGUAGACGGAAAGGCAAGUCAGAAGUGAAAACCCAAGGCUCAACCAUGGGACUGCUUUUGAAACUGUCAAACUAGAGUACGGGAGG
rnacentral:rRNA from 1 species